UUGGUUAUGUUCUGAUCCUAAAACGUAGUUUAAUAGAUUUCUCGGCGCGCCAGGCCAGCAACAUUGUGGUCCAAAAAAACAGCCGUCUGCAUUAAUCAGACCCCAGAUAUUUGACCAAAUUAUAGGCUCGUUCAAAGUUCGAGGACUCAGACCCGCAGAUUGAUGGCUGAAGACGCAGUUUUAAGUCGGAGCUAAGCUCAUAAUUCAGCUCUUUAAGAAGUUGUUACUUGAAGCAUUUAUUCUUACACCGCAGGCGCGAUGCAAACGCCCUGAUAGCCAACAGAAAAAACGAAGAAUGGCGAACAAGAAAACCCCAAAAAUAAGAAAUAAAAGGACGCUUUUCGGAAUAUAGAAUCUGAGUAAGGGUAUCAAACAGAACAAGGCAAUCAAAACAGCACAACUUUGCAAGCGUCGUUCAGCGUUACCGAUUUAUUUGAAUUUCAAUAAGCCCCAACGUUUUUGGAGUUCAUUAUCCUGUUAUGUCGGCAUUUUUGGUCUUUCAUCUCGCGCAUGCAACGAAUUUGAACUGGGGCGUUAUUAAUUAGCGUUAUGAAUUAUUGAUUCACAACCCUCGGGAGGAAAUCGCCCACACCGCAGCUAUCCGACAAGAUAUGCUUCAGCUGAUAUCUUUAUUUUUCGGAGAGGAUGCAUAAAUCGAAACCAAACCCGCAACGUUCAUCAUCUGGGGAGCCGAAAGGGGAGAAAUAUGUUCCAAUUAGCGAAGCCAAAUGUGACAGGCCAUCCACCCAGAAGAAGAAAUCAAGGCAGCGACUUGGUUUCACAGGACUCGCGGC
rnacentral:sRNA from 1 species